rnacentral:rRNA from 1 species
UUCGGGUUGUAAAGCCCUUUUGUUGGGAAAGAAAUCCAGCUGGCUAAUACCCGGUUGGGAUGACGGUACCCAAAGAAUAACGCACCGGCUAACUUCGUGCCAGCAGCCGCGGUAAUACGAAGGGUGCAAGCGUUACUCGGAAUUACUGGGCGUAAAGCGUGCGUAGGUGGUUAUUUAAGUCCGUUGUGAAAGCCCUGGGCUCAACCUGGGAACUGCAGUGGAUACUGGAUGACUAGAAUGUGGUAGAGGGUAGCGGAAUUCCUGGUGUAGCAGUGAAAUGCGUAGAGAUCAGGAGGAACAUCCAUGGCGAAGGCAGCUACCUGGACCAACAUUGACACUGAGGCACGAAAGCGUGGGGAGCAAACAGGAUUAGAUACCCUGGUAGUCCACGCCCUAAACGAUGCGAACUGGAUGUUGGGUGCAAUUUGGCACGCAGUAUCGAAGCUAACGCGUUAAGUUCGCCGCCUGGGGAGUACGGUCGCAAGACUGAAACUCAAAGGAAUUGACGGGGGCCCGCACAAGCGGUGGAGUAUGUGGUUUAAUUCGAUGCAACGCG